GACGAACGCUGGCGGCGUGCUUAACACAUGCAAGUCGAACGGAAAGGCCCUGCUUUUGUGGGGUGCUCGAGUGGCGAACGGGUGAGUAACACGUGAGUAACCUGCCCUUGACUUUGGGAUAACUUCAGGAAACUGGGGCUAAUACCGGAUAGGAGCUCCUGCUGCAUGGUGGGGGUUGGAAAGUUUCGGCGGUUGGGGAUGGACUCGCGGCUUAUCAGCUUGUUGGUGGGGUAGUGGCUUACCAAGGCUUUGACGGGUAGCCGGCCUGAGAGGGUGACCGGCCACAUUGGGACUAAGAUACGGCCCAGACUCCUACGGGAGACAGCAGUGGGGAAUAUUGCACAAUGGGCGGAAGCCUGAUGCAGCAACGCCGCGUGCGGGAUGACGGCCUUCGGGUUGUAAACCGCUUUCGCCUGUGACGAAGCGUGAGUGACGGUAAUGGGUAAAGAAGCACCGGCUAACUACGUG
rnacentral:rRNA from 1 species